rnacentral:rRNA from 1 species
AUUAACUGAAUCCAUAGGUUAAUGAGGCGAACCGGGGGAACUGAAACAUCUAAGUACCCCGAGGAAAAGAAAUCAACCGAGAUUCCCCCAGUAGCGGCGAGCGAACGGGGAGGAGCCCAGAGCCUGAAUCAGUGUGUGUGUUAGUGGAAGCGUCUGGAAAGGCGCGCGAUACAGGGUGACAGCCCCGUACACAAAAAUGCACAUAUUGUGAGCUCGAUGAGUAGGGCGGGACACGUGGUAUCCUGUCUGAAUAUGGGGGGACCAUCCUCCAAGGCUAAAUACUCCUGACUGACCGAUAGUGAACCAGUACCGUGAGGGAAAGGCGAAAAGAACCCCGGCGAGGGGAGUGAAAAAGAACCUGAAACCGUGUACGUACAAGCAGUGGGAGCCUCUUAAUGGGGUGACUGCGUACCUUUUGUAUAAUGGGUCAGCGACUUAUAUUCUGUAGCAAGGUUAACCGAAUAGGGGAGCCGAAGGGAAACCGAGUCUUAACUGGGCGUUAAGUUGCAGGGUAUAGACCCGAAACCCGGUGAUCUAGCCAUGGGCAGGUUGAAGGUUGGGUAACACUAACUGGAGGACCGAACCGACUAAUGUUGAAAAAUUAGCGGAUGACUUGUGGCUGGGGGUGAAAGGCCAAUCAAACCGGGAGAUAGCUGGUUCUCCCCGAAAGCUAUUUAGGUAGCGCCUCGUGAAUUCAUCUCCGGGGGUAGAGCACUGUUUCGGCAAGGGGGUCAUCCCGACUUACCAACCCGAUGCAAACUGCGAAUACCGGAGAAUGUUAUCACGGGAGACACACGGCGGGUGCUAACGUCCGUCGUGAAGAGGGAAACAACCCAGACCGCCAGCUAAGGUCCCAAAGUCAUGGUUAAGUGGGAAACGAUGUGGGAAGGCCCAGACAGCCAGGAUGUUGGCUUAGAAGCAGCCAUCAUUUAAAGAAAGCGUAAUAGCUCACUGGUCGAGUCGGCCUGCGCGGAAGAUGUAACGGGGCUAAACCAUGCACCGAAGCUGCGGCAGCGACACUAUGUGUUGUUGGGUAGGGGAGCGUUCUGUAAGCCUGUGAAGGUGGCCUGUGAGGG